rnacentral:tRNA from 1 species
GGUUGUGCUUCAGUGGUAGAGUGCUUGCCUAAUAUGCAUGAGGCACUGGGUUCGAUCCCUGGCACCA